CUUUAAAGAAGUUGGGGAUGGUGGAGAUGGUGGGGAUGGUGGAGAUAGUGGGGGUGGGUCAUUACAGAUAUUUUCUCAAGUUCUGCUCUCUCGAUUGAAAUAUGGUCGUUGCUAUCAAAAAGUAGUGACCCUUCUUCUUCUAGCGCGUCAAAAAGGCAGUGAACUCAUCGGCGUCGCCAUGAUAUUCACUGACAAAAGGGACGAGAGCGGAGAUACAAAGAUCUGACGGCUGCGGUUGCGGAAAUCGUUGGCGGCUAGGGCAUUGCUGUGAAAGAGAGGCAGUAAGCAGUGAAUCGCUGCAACAAGACGGGAAAUUAGGGUUUGUUCGCCGCCGGCGUCGGAGAUGAAGUGGAUUGUGCGGCUGUUGAGGGCACCGACUAUAAGUGCAAGCCCGAUGGAUUCCCAGGUCAGUCCCUCCCACUAGAGACUCGGCGACCAAAAGUUGAUUACUUGAUGCUCUGUGACGGAGAAAGUUGGAAGUUGAUCAUAACCACAGCGUUAAGAUUGAGAGGACAAAUGCUCCGAUUACAAACAUAAACAGAUCAACUAAUGGGCCAUUAAUGUCACCAAUGGGUUUUGUAUUGUGUAAAGUUUGCGAGUGGCUUAAACCCCCAUUUCCCGGUUUACUUCCACUUAUAGCACACUAUAUUAUGCUUGGAUGGAUUUUCUGAUUAUAUUUAGGAAAUCAGAUUUACAAAUAAAUAAAGUAUUCUUAUAUUUCAAAA